rnacentral:rRNA from 1 species
AUUGAGCGCUGGCGGCAGGCUUAACACAUGCAAGUCGAGCGGGGUGAUGGUGCUUGCACUAUCACUUAGCGGCGGACGGGUGAGUAAUGCUUAGGAAUCUGCCUAUUAGUGGGGGACAACAUCUCGAAAGGGAUGCUAAUACCGCAUACGUCCUACGGGAGAAAGCAGGGGAUCACUUGUGACCUUGCGCUAAUAUAUGAGGCUAAGUCGGAUUAAAUAGUUGGUGGGGGAAAGGCCUACCAAGGCGACGAUCUGUAGCGGGUCUGAGAGGAUGAUCCGCCACACUGGGACUGAGACACGGCCCAGACUCCUACGGGAGGCAGCAGUGGGGAAUAUUGGACAAUGGGGGGAACCCUGAUCCAGCCAUGCCGCGUGUGUGAAGAAGGCCUUAUGGUUGUAAAGCACUUUAAGCGAGGAGGAGGCUCUUUUGGUUAAUACCCAAGAUGAGUGGACGUUACUCGCAGAAUAAGCACCGGCUAACUCUGUGCCAGCCGCCGCCGUAA